GACGAACGCUGGCGGCGUGCUUAACACAUGCAAGUCGAACGGAAAGGCCUUUUCGGAGGUACUCGAGUGGCGAACGGGUGAGUAACACGUGGGUGAUCUGCCCUGCACUCUGGGAUAAGCCUGGGAAACUGGUUCUAAUACCGGAUAGGACCGCACUUUAGUGUGUGUGUUGGAAAGUUUUUUCGGUGUAGGUUGAGACCGCGGCCUAUCAGCUUGUUGGUGGGGUAAUGGCCUACCAAGGCGGCGACGGGUAGCCGGACUGAGAGGUUGGUCGGCCACAUUGGGGAUGGGGAUAGGCCCAGAACCCUACGGGAGGCAGCAGUGGGGAAUAUUGCAACAUGGGCGCAAGCCUGAUGCAGGGACGCCGCGUGGGGGAUGACGGCCUUCGGGUUGUAAACUCCUUUCGCCAGGGACGAAGCGUUUUGUGACGGUACCUGGAGAAGAAGCACCGGCUAACUACGUG
rnacentral:rRNA from 1 species